GUCGGGAUAGCUCAGUUGGUAGGGCAGAGGACUGAAAAUCCUUAUUUUUGUCUAGAAUAUAAUUUUAUGUUUAGGUU
rnacentral:tRNA from 1 species